GAUGAACGCUGGCGGCGUGCCUAACACAUGCAAGUCGAGCGAACGGACGCGAAGCUUGCUUCUCUGAUGUUAGCGGCGGGCGGGAGAGUAACACGUGGAUAACCUACCUAUAAGACUGGGAUAACUUCGGGAAACCGUAGCUAAUACCGGAUAAUAUUUUGAACCGCAUGGUUCAAAAGUGAAAGACGGUCUUGCUGUCACUUAUAGAUGGAUCCGCGCUGCAUUAGCUAGUUGGUAAGGUAACGGCUUACCAAGGCAACGAUGCAUAGCCGACCUGAGAGGGUGAUCGGCCACACUGGAACUGAGACACGGUCCAGACUCCUACGGGAGGCAGCAGUAGGGAAUCUUCCGCAAUGGGCGAAAGCCUGACGGAGCAACGCCGCGUGAGUGAUGAAGGUCUUCGGAUCGUAAAACUCUGUUAUUAGGGAAGAACAUAUGUGUAAGUAACUGUGCACAUCUUGACGGUACCUAAUCAGAAAGCCACGGCUAACUACGUG
rnacentral:rRNA from 1 species